rnacentral:rRNA from 1 species
UACGGAGGGGACUAGCGUUGUUCGGAAUUACUGGGCGUAAAGGGCGCGUAGGCGGUCGUGACAAGUCACUUGUGAAAUCUCCGGGCUUAACUCGGAACGGUCAAGUGAUACUGUCGGACUAGAGUACAGAAGGGGCAACUGGAAUUCUCGGUGUAGCGGUGAAAUGCGUAGAUAUCGAGAGGAACACCUGCGGCGAAGGCGGGUUGCUGGGCUGAUACUGACGCUGAGGCGCGAAAGCCAGGGGAGCGAACGGGG